GCUCCUCCUCCGUCACCUGCUGCACCUGUUAGUACGGGUUCAGCUGCUCCUGCUCCUGCUGCAGCACCCACCUCGCAGCCUCAGCCUUCACCACGCCAACCUGCAGCAAGACAGCAGCUUCCACCCCCUCCAACUCUGCCACCUCCACCUCCCAUAUCGAACCAAGCCCCAGCGAGAGAGCGGUUCACUCUUCCACCCCCUCCCCCGCUGCCUGAGAAACUUGACCCACCAAUUGUGACUCUGGAUGAUCUAUUUCGGAAAACUAAGGCAACGCCGAGGAUCUAUUACCUGCCUUUGUCAGAAGAACAAGUUGCCGCAAAACUUGAAGCUCGGAGUAAAAGUUCCAAGCAGUAGGGAUCAGGCUAUCUAAUCUAUAUC
rnacentral:lncRNA from 1 species